CCUGAACCUCGCAUCACCUCCUGCCAGCCCAGCCUAACCAACACCAAUUCACACCUCAGGUUCCAGAAAACAUGAAUGGGUGAGCCCUGAUGUCCUGGUACCAGCAGCUCAUUUUACUGUGAUGCAUACCGUGCACCCAGGGCUCGAGCAAGCAUCGCGUGUGCUGGGAUGCUCGUUGUGAGCUCGUGGUCUGCUAGAAGCAUCAGGCUGGAAGGAAUCCGAGAGGACUCUGAGAAGGUGACACCAUGACAACAGAAGUGACGGCUGACAGGCUGACACGGGGGAUGGAGACGAAGCUCAGAGGCAAUCUCAAGACUGUGUACUAGGUAGUCCCAGAAUAGAUGAGCCCUGCAUCAGCGUAAACUACAGCCACGCGGCAGAUGAACUUCCCCGCAGCCAGCAAAGUCCAUGGCGCCGCUCUUGGCUGCCAAGUGCGCCAGAAGGAGAUCUCCACCUCGGGGUGCCUCAUGCAAGACUCUGCACCAUGCAGUGAAGCGUCACCUGCUGUCCCCGUGCUCGGGGACUGAGAACUUUUUAUGUUUGUCCUUCCCCACGUUUCCUUCUUUCAUUUCCCACGCCGCUCCCUUGCCUGGCUGUGAUGGAAGGUCUGCGUAUCGCCUCCGCCUCCAUCUCGCCAGCGAAUUUGUUUUUG